rnacentral:lncRNA from 1 species
CCGGAAUGGAGUUAUUCACCUUGUUGUAGUUAUAAUAUUGUUCAAAAUAUAUGUUGGGAUCAAUUGACCCAAAUCAGAAUAUUAUACUCAGCAGUGUGAAAAAUUGAAAAAUGCAGCAAUCAAAAACAGUAAAUUAAACUAUUGCACUGCAGAAAAUAAAUAGACUGCAAGAACUUUAGAAUUGUUGACCCAGUUCAACUAUGAGCACUAGUUAAACUGUCCAGAGAAAGGGAAAGUGCAAGAAACCAAAAAUCAGAUCUAGAUUUUUGGCCAAGAACUACAACACCAGUGUAUUUCAGCUCCUAAACACCAAGAAUCAAUCCUAAUCGAACUUUACAAUAAAUCGAACAUAGUUACCUAAUCAACACGGCCACAAAACCGACAUAAGGCAACUAUACAAGAUCGACCACUUAGGGUUACAACUCUUUUUCAAGAUCACAACCACAAAAAUCGAAAGUGAGAAGAGAGGAAUUUUCUGAGAGUGCUCAGGAAAGAGAACCUUGAAGCUAAAACAAGUUGAACUGAAUGAAUCUCAAAAGGCUAACUCCAAAACACGUAUUAAUGGUCAGAUUUCAUCCACAUAGGAGGAUAUCAUCCACAAUGUAACCCAAAA